rnacentral:misc_RNA from 1 species
AACUUUCGACAAUGGAUCUCUUGGUUCUGGCAUCGAUGAAGAACGCAGCGAAAUGCGAUAAGUAAUGUGAAUUGCAGAAUUCAGUGAAUCAUUGAAUCUUUGAACGCACAUUGCGCCCUGUGGUAUUCCGCAGGGCAUGCCUGUUCGAGCGUCAUUUAACCACUCACGCCUAGCGUGGUAUUGGGGCACGCGGUCUCGCGGCCCUCAAAAUUAGUGGCGGCGCCGGUGGGCUCUAAGCGUAGUACAUACUCCCGCUAUAGAGUUCCCCCGGUGGCUCGCCAGAACCCCCAAUUUCUUACAGGUUGACCUCGGAUCAGGUAGGGAUACCCGCUGAACUUAAGCAUAUCAAUAAGCGGAGGCU